CUGCAGCAGGUUCCUGCUGUAACAGCUCAGUGUCUACGCAGUGUGACUGAGGGAGGUUUUUGUACGGCUCUCAAUCACUGUGUGAACACAUAGACACUGUUAGGAAUGUGGAGACUCUGACAGUGAUAAACUGCUGCAUCUUCACGCUGGGCGCCGUUGAUGUGGGAGUGGUGCAGCCCACGCUGAGCGUCCUCCCUCCCUCCAGAGUGGAGCUGGAGCAGGGCAGUGCUACACUAGUGUGUGUGGCCAGUGGGGGCUUCCCCUCAGACUGGAAGCUUGGCUGGAAAGUGGGGGGCAGCAGCAGGUCUGGGGGGGUGUCAGAUAGCCUGGGGGUCCUGGGGAAAGAUGGCCACUACAUCUGGAGCAGCACCUUGACCCUCCCUGCAGACCAGUGGAGGAAGGCGGGCUCAGUGAGCUGUGAGGCCAGUAAGAACGGCCAGACGCAGCCUGUCACUCAAACCCUGAAUCCUGGAGAGUGUUCAGAGUAGAGAGGCUCCAGCAUGGAGGUACUGGAGGAUACAGAUCUCCUCUGACACGUCUGCUUUAUGUCUCUCUGUCUCAGGUGGCACUGUAGCUUUUGAUGAUUAACAUUAAUAUAACAUCAUCCUUUCUGGUUUUUACCCCUUGGUUGUGUUGGUCUCAUGUUGAACAUUUAAUAAAGAUGUAAAGAAUAUA